UACGGAGGGUGCAAACGUUGCUCGGAAUCACUGGGCGUAAAGGGUGCGUAGGCGGGAUCUUAAGUCAGGGGUGAAAUCCUGGAGCUCAACUCCAGAACUGCCUUUGAUACUGAGAGCCUUGAGUUCGGGAGAGGUGAGUGGAACUGCGAGUGUAGAGGUGAAAUUCGUAGAUAUUCGCAAGAACACCAGUGGCGAAGGCGGCUCACUGGCCCGAUACUGACGCUGAGGUGCGAAAGCGUGGGGAGCAAACAGG
rnacentral:rRNA from 1 species